GACAGUUUUAUAAGAGUCUGGCGUUUCCCCUCCUUGUGCUUUUCUCUCGUGUGCCAUGUGAAGAACCUUGCUUCCUCUUUGCCUUCCACCAUGAUUCUUCAGGUGCCUGGAUGUUGAGGGGCAAAUAGGACUGUUCACUGAAGGAGCUAGAGAAUGGAAGAGAAGGUUGUGUCAGAUAGAAAUAACAGAAGCUUUCUGAAAUGAAAACAGAAAUGUUACAACUUGCACCACAGUACUGGACUGAAACGAAGAUGUAACACAGCCAUAAUAAUUUAAAUUAAUAGCAAAUAAAUAAAGAAAAAAAGAACUUCAUUGUGAGGACCAUAGUCAUGGGAUAGCUCUGUCUUUUCGGGGAAAGUGGAGUAGAGGGACAGAGUCACCCCAGGAGAAAAAAUGCUUAAAUUAAGACUCCCUGAGAGACUGAAUAAGAGUAUGAUUAGUUCAGCCUUGCUUUCAUCCUCCACUUCCCCCUCCCACUGUAGACUUCAGUUUUAAUAAUGAUUAAAGAAUAAUGCCUGAAUCCCAUCUGAAUGGCUUUUGAGAUUUAACUCACUGAAUCUAUUCAUAGCUUUGAGCUUGUAAGGGGGACUGAACAGAUCUGCACAACUAAUCGUGGAAUAUUACACUGAUACUUCAUCUCCCACAUCAAUA
rnacentral:lncRNA from 1 species